rnacentral:piRNA from 1 species
UAGGUUCCGAACUUUCCGUUU